GUCGAACGCUGGCGGCAUGUCUAAGGCAUGCAAGUCGAACGUACAAUGAAGAUGCUUGCAUCUUCGGCGUAAGUGGCAAACGGGAGAGUAACACAUUGGUAACGCACCCUGAACUCGUGAACAACUCGUGGAAACGCGAGCUAAUACACGAUACAGAUGGAGGGUCUUAUGACAUUCCCAUUGAAAGAUUUAUCGGUUCAGGAGCGGCCUAUGGCCUAUCAGCUUGUUGGUGAGGUAAAAGCUCACCAAGGCGACGACGGGUACCGGGCGUGAGAGCGUGACCCGGCUCACUGGGACUGAGACACUGCCCAG
rnacentral:rRNA from 1 species